rnacentral:rRNA from 1 species
GACGAACGCUGGCGGCGUGCCUAAUACAUGCAAGUAGAACGCUGAAGAGAGGAGCUUGCUCUUCUUGGAUGAGUUGCGAACGGGUGAGUAACGCGUAGGUAACCUGCCUGGUAGCGGGGGAUAACUAUUGGAAACGAUAGCUAAUACCGCAUAAAAUGGAUUAUCGCAUGAUAAUCCAUUGAAAGGUGCAAAUGCAUCACUACCAGAUGGACCUGCGUUGUAUUAGCUAGUUGGUGGGGUAACGGCUCACCAAGGCGACGAUACAUAGCCGACCUGAGAGGGUGAUCGGCCACACUGGGACUUAGACACGGCCCAGACUCCUACGGGAGGCAGCAGUAGGGAAUCUUCGGCAAUGGACGGAAGUCUGACCGAGCAACGCCGCGUGAGUGAAGAAGGUUUUCGGAUCGUAAAGCUCUGUUGUAAGAGAAGAACGAGUGUGAGAGUGGAAAGUUCACACUGUGACGGUAUCUUACCAGAAAGGGACGGCUAACUACGUG